UUGCUAAAUCUGCGCUACAGGCGUACAAAAUGCUUAAAUCGGCUAGUACAAGCCAAGUGCAACAAAAGUGUGGUGGCGACGGAAUGGGAGAACGGAUAGAAAUUAUGGAAGUCGAUGAAAGAGAGCUUGGUAAGGAUACGGCUGGACAUGCAACUGACGAACUUUCGUGCAAAAUCGUUUCUGGUGUCAGUGAAUCUGAAAGUUGGGAGGAAACCGAUGAAAAGAUGAGAGCAUAGAGAUUGUGAGAGUUAAUGCAGUAAGUAAGACGAGUAAGGCUGCCUCUAUUUCAAACACCAGCCGUCUUAGCUAUCAAAGCUCGCUUGGAAGUUUUCUUCCUUCAAUUUUAUCAAGUGAGCAAGGCGACCUGCCAUUUGAUGUGGACGAACUUGCGGAAAAAAUUGCUACUAAGGUGGCACAAAAGUUGAGUGGUAACCCUAAAUCAGCCCAAUCAACAAGUUCAACAACUACAUACAAUCCCACAUCGAGUACCGCACUUCGAUCUUCCAAUUUGAUUGAGCUUGUGGAUGAAGUGGAAGAUUUUGAAAUACUAAAAGAAGAGAACAGCUGGGUGCUGCAGUGUCGAACGUGUGUCGAAUUUUUAAACUCUUCCCGUGUUUCCUUUUCGUCAUCUUUUAAUCGACCUACUGGCAAAGCAGACGGAUCUUUGGCAUCUGGUUUACAUAUGUCAGAUGCCUUGUAUGAACAGCUAAUUGCAGGCAAGUGUGAAAAAUGGUACAGCCAAAAGCAAGCGUGUCAUCGACAUCUUCUUUCUUU